GCUCAGAUGAACGCUAGCUACAGGCUUACACAUGCAAGUCGAGGGGCAGCAUGGUCUUAGCUUGCUAAGGCCGAUGGCGACCGGCGCACGGGUGAGUAACACGUAUCCAACCUGCCGUCUACUCUUGGACAGCCUUCUGAAAGGAAGAUUAAUACAAGAUGGCAUCAUGAGUCCGCAUGUUCACAUGAUUAAAGGUAUUCCGGUAGACGAUGGGGAUGCGUUCCAUUAGAUAGUAGGCGGGGUAACGGCCCACCUAGUCUUCGAUGGAUAGGGGUUCUGAGAGGAAGGUCCCCCACAUUGGAACUGAGACACGGUCCAAACUCCUACGGGAGGCAGCAGUGAGGAAUAUUGGUCAAUGGGCGAGAGCCUGAACCAGCCAAGUAGCGUGAAGGAUGACUGCCCUAUGGGUUGUAAACUUCUUUUAUAAAGGAAUAAAGUCGGGUAUGGAUACCCGUUUGCAUGUACUUUAUGAAUAAGGAUCGGCUAACUCCGUGCCAGCAGCCGCGGUAAUACGGAGGAUCCGAGCGUUAUCCGGAUUUAUUGGGUUUAAAGGGAGCGUAGAUGGAUGUUUAAGUCAGUUGUGAAAGUUUGCGGCUCAACCGUAAAAUUGCAGUUGAUACUGGAUAUCUUGAGUGCAGUUGAGGCAGGCGGAAUUCGUGGUGUAGCGGUGAAAUGCUUAGAUAUCACGAAGAACUCCGAUUGCGAAGGCAGCCUGCUAAGCUGCAACUGACAUUGAGGCUCGAAAGUGUGGGUAUCAAA
rnacentral:rRNA from 2 species